ACAAGAGUGAAACUCUGUCUCAAAAAAACAAACAAACAAAAAACAACAACAACAAAAAAGAUACCUGAGUAGCCACUGAUCCAAGCCAGAUGAAAGGCCCGCAGCUCAGAGAGAUCAGAUAACUGCUCACCAUAGAGAAGCUCCUCGAGAGACUAAGCCUGGAUACAAAUGUUGGCCUUCUCACUCCAAAUCUUCUUCCUGCAUUCCCACAACAGGCUCAGCGGGGCAUCAUGAGACAGAAAAGCAAAUGAGAAAGGAAAGGCCAUGUGAGGUCACAGUGAGAGGGCACUGACCCACAAGCCAGGAAGAGAGCCAUGACCAAAAACUAACCAUGCUGGC
rnacentral:lncRNA from 1 species